rnacentral:tRNA from 1 species
GCGGAAGUGGCGGAAUUGGUAGCCGCGCUGGAUUUAGGUUCCAGUAUCUUCGGAUGUGAGAGUUCAAGUCUCUCUUUCCGCACCA